rnacentral:rRNA from 1 species
UUCUGACCGUAAACGAUGCCAACUAGCGAUCCGCCGGUGGAUUUUUAGCCCUGGUGGGUAGCUUCCCGGAAACGAAAGUCUUCCGGUUCCGGGGGAAGUAUGGUUGCAAAGCUGAAACUUAAAGGAAUUGACGGAAGGGCACCACCAGGAGUGGAGCCUGCGGCUUAAUUUGACUCAACACGGGGAAACUCACCCGGCCCGGACACCGUAAGGAUUGACAGAUUGAUAGCUCUUUCAUGAUUCGGUGGUUGGUGGUGCAUGGCCGUUCUUAGUUCGUGGAUCGAUUUGUCUGGUUUAUUCCGAUAACGAGCGAGACUCUAGCCUACUAAAUAGUAACGAGAUUAUCAAUGUCUCAGUUGCUUCUUAGAGGGAUUUUCGGUGUUUAGCCGCACGAGAUUGAGCAAUAACAGGUCUGUGAUGCCCUUAGAUGUCCGGGGCUGCACGCGCGCUACACUGGCGAAAUCAGCGUGCUGUAUCCAUUCUCGAAAGGGAUUGGUAAACCCAUGAAAAUUUGCCGUGCUUGGGAUCGGAAAUUGCAAUUAUUUUCCGUGAAC